rnacentral:rRNA from 1 species
GAUGAACGCUGGCGGCGUGCCUAAUACAUGCAAGUCGAGCGAACAGACGAGGAGCUUGCCCCUCUGACGUUAGCGGCGGACGGGUGAGUAACACGUGGAUAACCUACCUAUAAGACUGGGAUAACUUCGGGAAACCGGAGCUAAUACCGGAUAAUAUAUUGAACCGCAUGGUUCAAUAGUGAAAGACGGUUUUGCUGUCACUUAUAAAUGGAUCCGCGCCGCAUUAGCUAGUUGGUAAGGUAACGGCUUACCAAGGCAACGAUGCGUAGCCGACCUGAGAGGGUGAUCGGCCACACUGGAACUGAGACACGGUCCAGACUCCUACGGGAGGCAGCAGUAGGGAAUCUUCCGCAAUGGGCGAAAGCCUGACGGAGCAACGCCGCGUGAGUGAUGAAGGUCUUCGGAUCGUAAAACUCUGUUAUUAGGGAAGAACAAAUGUGUAAGUAACUAUGCACGUCUUGACGGUACCUAAUCAGAAAGCCACGGCUAACUACGUG